rnacentral:rRNA from 1 species
GCAUAUCAAUAAGCGGAGGAAAAGAAGCUAACAAGGAUUCCCUUAGUAACGGCGAGUGAAGAGGGAAAAGCUCAAAUUUUAAAUCUAUCAUGUUUGUACAUGAUCGAAUUGUAAUUUGAAGAAGCGUUUUCUCGUACUUUAUGCAAUCAGUAUAAGUUCUCUUGGAACAGGACAUCAUAGAGGGUGAUAAUCCCGUCUGUUACUGGUUGUGAGGUUCGUUAUGAUACGCUUUCAAAGAGUCGAGUUGUUUGGGAUUGCAGCUCCAAAUGGGUGGUAAACAUCACCUAAGGCUAAAUAUUUGCGAGAGACCGAUAGCGAACAAGUACCGUGAGGGAAAGAUGAAAAGAACUUUGAAAAGAGAGUUAAAAAGUAUGUGAAAUUGUUGAAAGGGAAACGAUUGAAGUCAGUCGUGCAGUCAUCAAUUCAGCGGUUAACAUUUUAUGUUUCCGUGUAAUUUGGUGUCUGUUGGUUAGCAUCAACUUUGAUUGUUAUAAAAAGGUUAAGGGGAUGUGGCUCCUUCGGGAGUGUUAUAACCCUUAGCGUAAUGUAACGAUUAGGAUUGAGGUUUGCAACGAAUACCUUUUAGGGCAGUUUCACCUGGCCUCUCGUGGAAUUAUAGAUAGUUAAGAGCAUGCUCUUACUGUCUAUGAUUCUACGAAAAGGUUGGAGUGUAAAACUAAUUCGUUAAGGAUGUUGACGUA